GCUCUUCCUGAUCUGGUGGAGGCUCCGAGAGGAGCUAGGACAAGGGAUGGUGCCCCUAUACCACCCCACCCCCACAUACUUGCCUGCAGAAGGCCACAUGACCAGGAUUAUGGUGGGUGAGGGCCAGAGGGAAGGCCCAGGUGAGAGGGUGGAAUGUGAACAGGCUGGUUAUUUGCAUGCCAGGGACAAGAGAGAAAAAAGCUCAGCAUUAGCAGAGAAGACGGACUUCUGCAGUGGCACCUACAGCUGUUCCCUUGGCCUCCCAAACAACCCAGGUGUGACGUCGGGAACCGGGAAUGCAGGCAACAGAGUGAUUCCAGCUGCCUCACAAGGAAGAGGGUGUGGGGGAAGAGCAGAGCAUCCGGGCUGGAAGCACAGUCAGAACCCUGCGUGCAGCCGGACACUCACUGUUCUUCCCCACGUGUGCUGGGCACCCGCCCUGCGUCAGGCUCUGUUCCAGGAGUUGGGUGAAACGGUGACUGAAAUAGACAGAACUCCUGUCGGUGAUGCCCACGUGAGAGAAUAUAAUCAAUGGACAAUGCACCGCACAUAUUUAAAACGUGCAAAUUGAUCCGUUUUGACAUGUGAAUGUCUGUGAACCAGCUCUACAGUUAAGAUGGUGACCAUCUCCAUCACCCUCAAAGUUUCCUUCUCCUCUUUGGAAUCCCCUCACUCCAGUCUCCAGCCACCCACUGAAUGGAAACCACUGAGAUGGUGUCUCACUGUGUUUCCCAGGCUGGUCUGGAACUCCUGGCCUCAAGUCAUCCUCCUGCCUUGGCCUCUGAAAGUGCUGGGAUUACAAACGUGGGCCAUCACCCUCAGCCCCUCUCUGCAAUUUUUGGCUAUUAUGAAUAAAGCUGCUAUGAGCAGUCAUGGACAA